rnacentral:rRNA from 1 species
UACGUAGGGCGCAAGCGUUAUCCGGAAUUAUUGGGUGUAAAGAGCUCGUAGGCGGUUUGUCGCGUCUGCCGUGAAAGUCCGGGGCUCAACUGUGGGCGUGCGGUCGAUACGGGCAUCACUGGAGUUCGGCAGGGGAGACUGGAAUUCCUGGUGUAGCGGUGAAAUGCGCAGAUAUCAGGAGGAACACCGGUGGCGAAGGCGGGUCUCUGGGCCGAUACUGACGCUAAGGAGCGAAAGCGUGGGGAGCGAACAGG